AACGAACGCUGGCGGCAUGCCUAACACAUGCAAGUCGAACGAUGCCUUCGGGCAUAGUGGCGCACGGGUGCGUCACGCGUGGGAAUCUGCCCUUGUCUUCGGAAUACCUGUUAGAAAUGACUGCUAAUACCGGAUGAUGUCCCCCUGAGAAAUCUUUGGGACCACAGAUUUAUCGGCCAGGGAUGAGCCCGCGUCGGAUUAGGUAGUUGGUGGGGUAAAGGCCUACCAAGCCGACGAUCCUUAGCUGGUCUGAGAGGAUGAUCAGCCACACUGGGACUGAGACACAGCCCAGACUCCUACGGGAGGGAGCAGUGGGGAAUAUUGGACAGUGGGGGGAACCAUGAACCAGCAAUGACGGGUGAGUGAUGAAGGUAGUAGGGUUGUAAAGCUCAUUUAACAGGGAAGAUAAUGACAGUACCUGGAGAGUAAGCUCCGGCUAACUACGUG
rnacentral:rRNA from 1 species